rnacentral:rRNA from 1 species
AGAAUGAACGCUGGCGGCGUGGUUAAGACAUGCAAGUCGAACGGUGUUUCAAAUGUAGCAAUACAUUUGAAACGCAGUGGCGAACGGGUGCGUAACACGUGAACAAUUUACCUUUUAGUGUGGAAUAGCUCGACGAAAGUCGGAUUAAUACCGCAUGUGGUUGUCUCUCGCCUGAGAGGCAUACUAAAGCCGGGGACCGCAAGGCCUGGCGCUAUUAGAGGAGUUCGCGGCCUAUCAGCUAGUUGGCGAGGUAACGGCUCACCAAGGCUAAGACGGGUAGCUGAUCUGAGAGGAUGAUCAGCCACACUGGACUGAGACACGGUCCAGACACCGUACGGGUGGCAGCAGUUUCGAAUCAUUCACAAGUGGGCGAAAG